rnacentral:rRNA from 1 species
AUUGAACGCUGGCGGCAUGCCUUACACAUGCAAGUCGAACGGUAACGCGGGGCAACCUGGCGACGAGUGGCGAACGGGUGAGUAAUGCAUCGGAACGUGCCCAGUAGUGGGGGAUAGCCCGGCGAAAGCCGGAUUAAUACCGCAUACGACCUACGGGUGAAAGGGGGGGAUCGCAAGACCUCUCGCUAUUGGAGCGGCCGAUGUCAGAUUAGCUAGUUGGUGGGGUAAAGGCCUACCAAGGCGACGAUCUGUAGCUGGUCUGAGAGGACGACCAGCCACACUGGGACUGAGACACGGCCCAGACUCCUACGGGAGGCAGCAGUAGGGAAUUUUGGACAAUGGGCGAAAGCCUGAUCCAGCCAUGCCGCGUGCGGGAAGAAGGCCUUCGGGUUGUAAACCGCUUUUGUCAGGGAAGAAAUCUUCUGGGUUAAUACCUCGGGAGGAUGACGGUACCUGAAGAAUAAGCACCGGCUAACUACGUGCCAGCCGCCGCCGUAACAC